CACAGCUUCACCAGAAGAUAGCCCUGCCUACCAACACACUGCAGCAGUCACAUCCAAGCAUCACAUGUGGACUGGGUGCCAGCCCUUCCCAUCAGCUCACCACAACAGUAGUCACUGUGCCUCAUAGUGGUACCAGGCACCAGCCCUGCCCACCAACAUUCUACAGCAGUUGUGAUCGUUCCGUUCCCUGCAGCCAGGUUGGGCACCAACACCACCCACGAAGGUGUCACAAUAGUUGCGGCCAUGUGUCACAGCCAGGUCAGGCAAGAGCUCCACCCAAUCCCUGCACAGCAUCCAUGCUCCUGCCACAUAAGGAGGGCUCAUGCAGCUCACAUAGAGGACAUCCCUUGAGUGCCUGACUCAGGAGGCCAGGGGGAUUGCACUUCUGGGCCCCACAGGAUAUCUCCUACUUAAGCCCACUCCCUCAAGACUGAAAGAGGUGCUCCCUGUCAUCCUUUCUCAUUCAGUCUGCAGGGUCCUUCAGCAAGUGCCCAUCACAGUGAACAAAUUCUUUGAGGGGAAAAAUGAAGUGCAAAGAGAUGAAAGACCUUGUCCAAGAUGCCUGUAAGUGGUGGAGACAGGAUAAGGCUCCAGAUAGGCUGGCUUCAGGGUCUGCAUACUAACCAUCCAUCCCCAAACCCAAAUCAGUGUCUGUCAAUGGGAUGAAGGUAUGGAGCAUCCAGCAGGGGUGUCUGUCAAUGGGUUGAAGCUAUGGAGCAUCCACAAGGGGUGUCUGUCAUUGGGAUGAAGGAUCAGGGAAAAGCUGAACAUAACCUCAGGAAAACCACAGAUAUCUAGUGGAAGACCGUCUAUGUCAGAUGGAAACAGAUCCACGGAGAGGAAGAACAAAGCUACGCCCUGACCAACAAUUAAAAUAACUAUAUCCAGUCAGUAAAGAGACUCGCUAUUUUCUUUUUUCACUGGAAGCAUUAGAAUCUAGAAGAGUUGGGGAAAGGAGAGAGCUUCAGAUAGGUUUUAAAUUUGACAUAUUAAACAGGAUUGUAUUAUGUUCUCAUAAUUGAAACUUAUUAGAAGAGUUAUGAAAUUGAGCCAAAAUUUCACUGGUAUAGGAAAAGAUGAUUUAGAGAAUCAUAGUUAACAGCAGUCAUUUAAAAUAAAUGGAAAGGGUUUUUAUGUUUCCUCACACUCUAGAAUGUCAGCUCAAUGAGAACAGUGAUUCUACUUUGUUAGUUCUGUUUUAUACAUUUCUAGAACAGUGCCUGUGCCUAGUAAAUCUUUAUUAAUGUUUGUUGAAUGAAUGGG
rnacentral:lncRNA from 1 species